UUUCUCUUUAAAAUGGUCCCGUGAGGCUGUAAAGAGGUUGUAACCUGUCAAAAGUGUGGCGAACACCGCUUCCCUUUUUGUCAGUGUGCGGUCAACUCUUUGCUCCUUGGGCAAAGGGUUUUUUUAU
rfam:Geomicrobium sp. JCM 19039 DNA, contig: JCM19039.contig00002.